CCAGGAAGUGGAUCAAAUUGCAUCUUCAAAACGUAUUCAACAACUUUAACGUAGUUGAGAGUUGAGACUCACAAAUCAAAGGCUCUGGUGGUCUGAUCUGAGUGGUGGUGUUUCUUUUGAGUGCUGAAUCGGUUGUUAAAAUCGGCAAAACGGAAGGGAAUCGGCCAUCGGGUUUAAUUAAGAUUACCUAACGGGUGAGGAAGAUAAUAAACCGGAAUUUCUAAAAUUGGCUGCUUUAGUUCCUCACAAAUCGCCAACUGAAAUAACUUCCUGAAAUAUAUGAAACUGAAGUUCAUUAACACCACCAUUCUAUAACUACCUGCAAUGGUUUUGACUUUGAGAAAGUCAAACGUUUGCAUUUCUCUUGUGUUUCUUAUUACAUGAAUUUUGUUAUAACUUAAUUAGCUUAGCUUAGUGUAAUAAUCUUUUUGAGAAGGAGUAUAUAGAACCCCCUUAUAAAUGUUGGAUUCCUAAAAAAUACAUUUAAGUGGAAAUUUCGAGUUCCUUGUGUUGACAUCAUAGAAAUAUUUAAUAUACAUCUAGGCCCAUGUUAUGCUUAUAAGUUAUAAUGAAAUGCUUGUGAUUCAAUGUCGACGUUAAUAGCACUUUAUUAACCUUGGUAAUUAAGCUCUAAAGUGUAAUAACCAGCUCAUAAGAUACACUCUUGUGGAUUAACAGUGUGAUCCGUUGUUUCUUUGCAGUCAUCUUCGACAAAACAUACUCCAAUGGCGUUGUCUUCUUUAACGUCAUUCAUUAAGGAGAGCUAUCAAUACGAUGUGUUUUUGAGCUUCAGAUGUGAAACACACGCAAGAACUUUGUGGAUCACCUUUAUGAGCAGCGGGGCUGCGGGCGAAUGCCACGGAUAGUAGUUUUGAUACUAUUCCGAUAGCCACACCGACCCCUACCCACAAGACAAAAACUCUGUCAAAUAAUGCAAGGUGCACAUGAAAACCAUCAUUGCAUAUGCUUUAAAGAAACCUCCACCAAGGAAAAUUCGUAUAAAAGUGGUCCCUCUACUAAAGAUAACAGCUACUUUUCAGACGAAGACACUAGAGAAUUGGACCCAACACAUGGAUAUGUCGACUGAAAAAAACGUCAUGCAUGACGAACAAAGGCUAUUAUAGUCUUUUGUAAAAUUCAAUUUCCCCUAUAUAAAAGAAAGUGAUAGCUCUUUAUUUUCCAUAUUAAAGAAAAUUAAAUGAUAUCUUAUUUUCUAAAUAGCUCUGAUACCAUUUGCAGAAUCA